GAUUGAAGUACUUAUUAAUUAAUCCAUUGAAGCUGUCUACGAAAUGAAAAAACUGAAAUUUCUAUUGCCUCAUAAAUGCUCUACACAAGGCAAAGAAUUUCUCUGCUGUGAACUACAAGUCUCCUUAAUGUUACAACAUCCCUGUUCAACGCUCGAUCAACGGUUACAACAGAUUCCAUCUCACCUACAGUGUAACCCUACAACAACCCCGCUAUAUACAUCAACCCAGUUUGGCAGGUCAUGCAGCGCCAGCAAUGACUCAUCCCAAUAACUGGGAAUGGCAUUUUAUCAAUCCUGCCUGUCACGUUCCCGGUUCCAAUCCAUUCGCAUUAAUUUACGUACCUUUUGUUGGCCGUUGCAAGCUCUAUUCAGAACCUUUGCUGGCGGUGGCAUCAUGCAUGACUGCUUUACACUGUAGGCACUCGAGUCCCUAACUGAUUUGUUGGGCGAUGAUCUACUCGACUUCGGCGUAGACCAAUUUAUUGGGCCCUUUCGCACACCAUUGAUAUGCACAACAUCCUUCUUGUUCUCACUUGUUGAGAGUCUAGGCCUCUUAGAGGUCAAUGUUUGGUCCCCAUUUCUAAUCGAAGUGGAUGAUGCAAACAAUUCUUCAUGUUUCUCAUUUGAUUUUGAUUUGCGAGCUUUCAUCACCUUUUGUGAAGGCUUUUUGGGCCACUUCAUUCCAACUUGGUUUAGCCUCGAGGUACUUGUGGUAAUCUCACACAAGGUUUGAGCAGCUGCUAGUACUCUUGGACAAUGUUCAACUGUCACAAAGAAAAACACAAAUGAGAGGGUGAAUACCAACCAACGAGAUUCAGUUCAAGUGGUGUUAAUUUGCAAAUUCCUUGAGUUUCCCUUUUUCCCAAUCAAACAAAAGCCCAUCACAGGCAGCACUCAUGUCCCCAUUUUAUUCCAUAGAAUUUUAAAAUAAAUUUGCAAAUCGCUAUCAUGCAUACACAAACAAACAACAAAUGGUGGCAAAGUCUCAAUUAUUGAAGGAACAAAGUUACAAGUAACUGUAAAAUCGUACCAUUUCCUUCAUUCUUGAGGUUUAAAGAUGAUUCUGCAUUUGGAAGAAAAAUGAAUUAAUUAAAACUACUAUAAAGGAUUUCCAUACAUCUGAGAUAAAUUCAAGUCUCAAAAGGCCACCCCGAAAGAACUAACCCUUCAUGCAAGUAUUGCCUAGAUGAAUGUGGCAUGUCAUAGAAGCUGCUGCUAUUGAUGAACCCCACUCGCAAUGAGUAACAGACAUAGAUGAAGCAAAAUUACUUUCUAGGAUAGCCAGCUUUGGUCCACUUGAAGGAACUAGGCUCUCAUCAUAUGCAAAGGACUCCAAAUUUGUAAAACAACUAGAGGUAAUCCCAAGUGAAUUGAGAGAGUUUCCCAUUUUCACCCAUCUACCUUGGCAUGUGCUCCUACUUGCUAACAGCUUAACUGCAUCAGAAUUGGUUCUACAAUGCCCACUAAAAGUUUGUGACCAGGGAAAAGGUGACAAGCUUGGCCGGCGAGAUGUUUGCUUGCCUGUACGUGGAUCAGGAGCAUUCCUUGAAGAUACAGCAGGCUUGGCUGCAUCCAGAAGCAAAGACUCCAAAUCCUUGGGUGGAGGAAGUGCUAAGCGUUCCAAUGUAUCUUUAGGUUGGUCAAAUGAAAAAUUGAGCAAAUUAGCAGGAAUUUCAGACCUGCCACAAGAAUCCUGUAACUUGUUAGAUGAAGAUAGAUCUGUUGUAGAUGAAUCACCAUUAUCUCCAUUUCCCACAAUAGAAAUAGAGCUAGAUUGGCAUGUGGGGACUUUCUCAUUGGAAUAAGUAUCUAUCUCAGCAAAAUUGUGGAACUGCACAGACGUAGGUAGCUGAAGAAUAGAGCAAGCCUUUCUUACUGAAUGCAGAAUAUGUUCAGUUGUGUUUGUUGCUUUCUUUCCCCGGUCUUUGCCUAAGCUAGGACACUCAUAAGCGCCUUGAAGGAGAUCAUUCAAUGAUAAAUCAUCUACAAGUUUUGUUAUGUCAUGGACAUCUGUCUUCAGACCAUACAAUCCAAAUAAGUUGUUCCCCGCAGCAGCAGAAUUGAAGUUCGCCAAACUGGCCUUCACAGAGAAGGAAUCAUAUUUAACCUUUGUGGAAACUUUGAAAUUUCUCCUAUCCCCUCGUUUGCUGCCGCAGUUGUUCUUUUGUCUUGACGAAUGAGCUUUCUCUAGCAUGUAAAUUUGCAAUACCCACAUAAUUAGGACAAAAGAUUUACUUGUGUAGAGCCCACAACUAACAAAAAAUAUGCUUAUCAUCUUGCAGAACUAGAUAUAUACUCAUUGACUAAUUGGUUACUGUUACUGUUUCAUCUCUAGUUGCUUACUUUUUCAUUGCAUCAAUUUUGAAUACAAUGUUCAAUUUAUGGAGAAUCACCACAUAAAAUGUAAGGAUUACCACCAUAUAUUUGAACAUAUGCAUGUUGCAAACAAAAUAAAUGCACUGAAAUUUUUUACAUAAUGACAACAGCGCUAGCACUGUUACAUAAAUACAAAACUUCCACUAAUCAAAACUUCAAGUAAACAUGCAGAUUUUAUACCAAACAGUUAGUAGCCUUUUAGAGGAACAUGGCAUUACCUUGAGAGUCACAUUUUGUCGGAUGUGAUCCCAGCUUAUCAGACGGAACCUUCGUGUCAUCAACUGCAGCUGGACCUGUAGUAUCUUCUGAUAGAGCUAUCCAUGGUCUUUUAUGACAUCCACUACCACUUCUUGACAUUUGUCCUGAUUUUCGCUGUACCUGCACUUCUUCAGGCCUUGGAACCCGUGAAGGCCCAUUGGCACCAUCACAACGGCGCUGUUUAGACACACCUUCACUCAGAAAGCUGGGCAGCUGGCUAGCAUGCCGACAAAGUUCAGAAUCUGGAGCCUUAUUCAAUGGUGUUGACUCCAAAAAAUUUGCUGUGCUUGUCACUUCUUUUUCACUAC
rnacentral:misc_RNA from 1 species